GACGAACGCUGGCGGCGUGCUUAACACAUGCAAGUCGAGCGGUGAAGCUUCUUCGGAAGUGGAUUAGCGGCGGACGGGUGAGUAACACGUGGGUAACCUGCCUCAUAGAGGGGAAUAGCCUUCCGAAAGGAAGAUUAAUACCGCAUAAGAUUGUAAUAUCGCAUGAUAUAGCAAUUAAAGGAGUAAUCCGCUAUGAGAUGGACCCGCGUCGCAUUAGCUAGUUGGUGAGGUAACGGCUCACCAAGGCGACGAUGCGUAGCCGACCUGAGAGGGUGAUCGGCCACAUUGGGACUGAGACACGGCCCAGACUCCUACGGGAGGCAGCAGUGGGGAAUUUUCCACAAUGGGGGCAACCCUGAUGGAGCAACGCCGCGUGCAGGAUGAAUGCCUUCGGGUUGUAAACUGCUUUUAUAUGUGAAGAAUAUGACGGUAGCAUAUGAAUAAGGAUCGGCUAACUCCGUGCCAGCCGCCGCCGUAA
rnacentral:rRNA from 1 species